rnacentral:rRNA from 1 species
GACGUAGGGGGCCAGCGUUGCUCGGAAUUACUGGGUGUAAAGGGUUCGUAGGCGGUGUGGCAAGUCGGGAGUGAAAUCUCUGGGCUCAACCCAGAGUCUGCUUCCGAAACUGCUGUGCUUGAGUGUGGGAGAGGCGCGUGGAAUUGCAGGUGUAGCGGUGAAAUGCGUAGAUAUCUGCAGGAACACCCGUGGCGAAAGCGGCGCGCUGGACCACUACUGACGCUGAGGAACGAAGCUAGGAGCAAACAGGAU